rnacentral:rRNA from 1 species
GUGGGGAAUCUUCCGCAAUGGACGAAAGUCUGACGGAGCGACGCCGCGUGAGUGAAGAAGGCCUACGGGUCGUAAAGCUCUGUCAUCAGGGACGAAUGGCCGGUGGAGUGGAAAGCCACCGGAUUGACGGUACCUGAGAAGGAAGCCACGGCUAACUACGUGCCAGCAGCCGCGGUAAUACGUAGGUGGCAAGCGUUGUCCGGAAUUAUUGGGCGUAAAGCGCGCGCAGGUGGGAUCUUAAGUCCAUUUUGAAAGUUCGGAGCUCAACUCCGUGAUGGGAUGGAAACUGGGAUUCUUGAGUACCGGAGAGGAAAGCGGAAUUCCCCGUGUAGCGGUGAAAUGCGUAGAUAUGGGGAGGAACACCAGUGGCGAAGGCGGCUUUCUGGACGGUGUCUGACACUGAGGCGCGAAAGCCAGGGGAGCGAACGGGAUUAGAAACCCGGGUAGUCC